ACGUUUUAGAAUGCUUUUGUAAGUUCCACUUGCGUCCGGAAAUGAAAUUAUAAAUUAAGUGGUAGGCAUAAUGCAAUCGAGUACGCAUUUAACACUUUACAAGCGUAAUAUAUCCUUUAUUGAUACCUCAUUAUGGCUCUUAAUUUAAAAACGAACGAGAGCAGGCCAAUUGCCAACAGUUUUAAAUUGGAGUUGGAAGUCAUCAUCAAAGUUUGGAUGUCUUUAAACAAUUGGUUAAUUGAGUUUAGGGCUUGACACAUCCUAACCAUAACCAUAUCCUUGUCACGCUUUUCGGAUCCAUUAUGCUGAGGUAUUCGAGGUGAUGGCCCUAUUCUUCGGGCUCGGCAUGAGGUUGAUUAAUUAUGGAAUUUCACGCAACAGAAACCCACCAAAAACUCCAGAAAACACAAAAAAAAGAAGUUAAAUAAAGCCGCUGGAAAAGAAAGCGUUGAGCGGGAGAACCAGAAAACCCGGGGAACAAUAGAGAGCGCCAAGAUGGUUAAAUUAAUGAUGGUCCCCGGUGGAAACGCCAGCGCGGAAAUUGGCCCAGAGAGACGUGACCAAUGCGCAUCCUUGGCAUAGAUCCCCGAUCCAUAUCAAGGACAACGGAGGCCGCAACCAACAAAGGUCUUGGGUUUCUACUGCUCGGUGAAUUUUGGGUUAAGCAAACCCAACGGGGGAAGUUCGGCUACGGAUUACCAGUGAGCGCCCAGUGAGGAGUCCCGACAUUUGCGCCUGGCAGGAUAGCAAAAAUCGGCACAAUGUCCUUGAAGCUGUGACCUUGAUUUCAAAGACAAUAUAUCCGGACACUAAAUUGACAAAUAUUUAUAAAUUCAACAUCACAAUAAAAGUCCAGGCGCCCAUUCGAAGGGA